AUGGCCACAUCACAUUGAAAUGCCGUUUCCCAUAUGAACACUGCUUAAGCAAUGUUGAACCCGGUCAGUACCUAGAUGAGUGACCUCUUGGGAACACCAGGUGUUGUAAU